UACGAAGGUGGCAAGCGUUGUUCGGAUUUACUGGGCGUACAGGGAGCGUAGGCGGUUGGGUAAGCCCUCCGUGAAAUCUCCGGCGUAACCCGGAAAGUGCGGAGGGGACUGCUGGCUAGAGGAGUGGAGAGGAGCGCGGAAUUCCCGGUGUAGCGGUGAAAUGCGUAGAGAUCGGGAGGAAGGCCGGUGGCGAAGGCGGCGCUCUGGAACAUUUCUGACGCUGAGGCUCGAAAGCGUGGGGAGCAAACAGG
rnacentral:rRNA from 1 species